rnacentral:lncRNA from 1 species
ACGGGCUGACGGUCUCUACCUGCAGGUCACAGCGCCCAGGCCUGGGCCAAGGAGACCGAGCCAUCAACAAACCCGGGGAGCUGUGGCCCCACCAUGGCCCUGCCAGCUGCACAUGGUGGGGCUGCCCCCGGCGUCCGCCAAGGCCCCCUUGCCCCUCAGCCCCGACCUCCUGGAACCCUCAGGACGGGGCUGUCCGGGAGUCACCCCCUGGUCCCUGGCCCCCCUUCCCGACCAGGGACGCCGCCCACACCCUGAAAGCUGCUCUCCCACCAGCCCAGCCCUGCUGCUCGCUCUGGGUGCCCAGCUCUGUGUUCCUGGUGUGGCUUGGUGGCAGUUGCUCCUCACCGGCUCACCGGGUCCUGUCUCUGCGCCAGGAAGCCGGGGACAGCGCGGCCUCAGGGCGCACCCCCCCCCAGCACCCCGUACUGCUGCUGCCACCGCCAGGUGCUCUAACCAGCUGCUCUCGGGGAGGGGGGGAGCAGCAGCGUGUUGGCACUGGGGCUUCUGAUGAGGCUGGCGUGGCGGCCCCGCAGGGCACCUCUCAGGUUGGAGGGGACACAUCUGGGCCCUGAUGAAAGUGGUCCUGGUCCUCCUGGCUCCAGCUUAUGCUUCUCAGCACCGCUCUGUGUCCUCAGGUUCAGCACCCCCGCCCCCACGAAGUGGGGGGCAGAGUUUGUUCCUUUCAUUCACUGGCGGUUCCCUGCCUCCACCCACCCUUCGGAGGCGGUCCUGAGUAAACGGAUCAGGAAAAGAAUGGGUGUGUUGAGGGCGAGCAGAGACCCGUGAACGCAGCCCAGCGUCUGAACUGUUCACCUGCCGCGGCUAAAAGGGCAAAUUUCCUCGUGUAUAUGUAUUUACCACGAACGAAUGUGCAAAGUGUGACCUUAAAGGGAACAGACUGGAGGUUUUCUCAACCACUCUGGGAUAGGGAAGAGUUUUGUUGGUUUUUUUGUCUUUUUUUUUUUCUGCACUUGCAGCAUUUGGAAGUUCCCAGGCUAGGGGCUGAAUCAGAGCUGCAGCUGCCGACCCACACCACAGCCACAGCCACAGCCACAUGAGAUCCAAGCUGCUUCUGCGCCCUAUGCCCCAGCUCAUGGCCACACUGGAUCCUUAGCCCACUGAGCGAGGCCAGGGAUUGAACCGCAGCCUCACAGAUACUAGUCGGGUUUGUUACCCCUGCGCCACAAUGGGAACUCCAGCUUUUUAUAUUUUUAAUUUAAAUCUCAGUCUUUGAAUUUUAUUUCAUGUUGGAGAGUAACAUGAUCCUACCAAUAAGUUAUUUUACUGCUCCUGGUGUUUACGCGAGUUUAGUUUUAGAUGCAGCUUGGUGGGUGUUCAAGCGCUUUCGCUUUCAGAGUUGAACUGGAGAGAGCGCGCGUCUCCGUUGUCCUGCUGGGCUUCUGGCGGCGUCAGCACCGCUGUGGUUCCCCUCUUCCACGGGGUGUACGGUGUCAGCAAAGGGAUUCUUUCUGGCUGGCCCUUGGCGCGGGUGGUUGGCAGCCAAAUGCGAGUGUGAAGGGCAGGUUUUGAUCUCCGUUACUCCCUUCAGCUUUGUCGAAGGCGCGUGAGAAAGCAGAAUUGACCCCAGAUUCUGGCUCCACCGUGUUUUUAUUUCGGGUCGAACCGCAGGGACCCUGGCAGGCAGGGAGCUUUCAGCACCGGCAUUUUGGUGACGUUGGGAAGAAAACCACGUUCCCCCGAAGCCGGAGUUUGAGGAACAGCCGCCCCACUUUCCCGCCCAGACUGUGCUGUGCUGUUGACCCAACGCGACACACAGAUCCCUCUGUCGCCCGCUGGACACUGGCCAGGCGGCCUUUGUCUGUGGGGGAGAAUCACUCAGUGCGUGAAGCCAGCUCAGCCCUGGAACCUCAGCGCAACAAAAAGCCUCUGUUCGCCUUGCGCCGGGCUUCACGCAGAGGGUCCCGGCCCUGCCCCACCGCGGUGGCCGCCUCGAAGACGUGCCUGGAGAGCCAGCCCUUUAAUUAGGUCAGCCCGUGGGGGGCAGAGGGCACCCCAUGCGGGUUCAGUGGGUGAACGGACGGAGGAGGCCGUCCCAGGACUUUCUCCAGCGGCUUCAAGUUCACGAGACCCUCCCUUCACGUCCAGCAGCCUGGGGCCCAGGCUGAGUUUUCAGGGCAGGGCGUCGGCGCGUGUCAGCGCGAGCGGUGCUGAGAGGCUGAGGGGCUCCCCGUGACUCAGGACCGGGAGCUCGGUUUGGGGGAGCCCUCCGUUCCUGCGGACUUUGUGGGAUUGUUGUAUUUGGCUCUCAAUCCUCUUCUUUUUUUGGUUUUGAAGCCCGAGCUGUUGGGACGGUGCCUGGAAGGAAGAAGAGGGUUCCCUGACUCUGGGGGGCGAGCGUGCCCAGGGUGCGCCCGGGAGGUAGACGACACAGCCAGGGGGCCCGGGGCCACUCUUCCCCUCCCCCAGGUGAGACGGCAGCAGGACGCAGUCACAGGAACACCCCUCCACGCAGGGCCACAGGGGCAUGCGGUGGUCUUGUUUGGACAACCUGCCUGGCAGGCACCUGAGGCUGGCUGGGCGGCGGCUGGUUCUUGGCGGUCUUGCCAGCCAUCGUGCCAUCUUUCUAAGCUGUCUUGGCUUUCAGUCCAAGCAGCAUGGUUCCCGGGAGGUGACAGGGCUGCCUCUCAGGGGUGGAAGCUCUGGGCCGUUUUCAGAAAGAGAAGCCUGCGCUUCCUGCUUCUGUCCUGGGUCGCGUCCCGAGUGUCCCCCCACCCCCCGACUCCAUCUCAGGUUUCACGUUGUUCCCUUUACACUUUCCCGCCUCUCUGAGGCUCUUUGGCGCCUGCGCCUGCGUGGUUUUCAGAGGUUCCUAACUGAGCGCAAACGCCAGGCGGGUGUUCUGGAGGCAGGAGGGUGCAUCUUGAACGUAGCCUUGUGGGGUCAGGUGGGUGGGGGAGGAGGAUGGAGGCCGCGGAGGAGGUGGAGUCGCACCUUCCACGGCCAAACCCAAGUUCUGCGCACCCAGCGCGGGGGUGCGGGUGUGGGCAGGUGGGUCCCUGCGUGUCCUCAGCGGACGGAGGCCAGGCGCUCGCCUCCCCGCAUCCUCUCCUGUGGAGAGACCAGCCUGGUCCCCCUCCCCGACCAAUUUUAACCUUUGCCAAUUUUAACCCAGAUUUUCAAGGCUGCAGUGCAGCCCCAUCCUGCCACCCCUUGAAGCCUCUGGGACAGGGGCUGCAGAGCUUGGAGCAGUCGGAAGUUUCCAGGCCAGGGAUUGAGGCCGAGCCACGGCAGUGGUAACACCAGAUCCUUAACCAGCAUUUUGUCCUCCACGUGAAACCCGAGUGGUACCUCGCUUUCCUUGUUAUUUUAACCAGGAGCUUCAGCUACGUGAAAUAAAAUUUGUAUUUUCUGGCAAGACGAGAAGAAAAAAUUCCAACAUAGCAUUUGUCUCUGCCCGUUGGCCCCCUGCCUGCCCCCCACUGGGACUGUGCGUCUGCAUUUACGCAUCGGCCAGACCUCCCCCAGCAGCAGGAAUACCUGCUCAGCUUCUCUGGCACCAGUACCGACAGGACGGCUCCUUAAAGAGCCUGUGGACGGCAGCGCUAAGACGCCGGGACAAAACCUCUAACAAGUUAAGGUUAAAAGUUCUGCGGAAGAAGAAGAUUCCCCAGAAAACGAUCACGGCUGGAUGUCCCUCAGAAGGUCUGGCAGUCGCCGUCCUUAAGGAAAAAGGGGGUCUCCUCUGCGGGCAGGACCCCCAGGCUGCGGGGGGCCUUCCCGACCAGGCCCUGUUUGAACCUCUCUGGCUUUUGCUGUGAGACAGUGUGAUUCUGAAGGUGGGUUUCAGGCAUGGCUUUCCCCCGCAUCCACAGGGCGGAUGUAUCCCAGCUCUGCUGCUGGCAGGGAUGAGCUCACGGCACCAUCGGCACCCAUUUCUGGUGGCCCUGCUGCCAGACGGUGAUACACUAGGUCCUGGGCUCCACGUCCCCUGCUUUCGUGCUGGCAGGGCCACGGGAGCUCCUGUCGCUUUGAGGGGGAAGGUCAGACCCAGGAGUGACGUGCUCUUGGCUGAGGGUCUGUGUCAGUGCACCACCGUUAUACAUUCGGGAAGGUUCCUUCAGCAGAAACACGCAUGAGACACGGCUAGGGAUGGACAGGAUGAGGGAGACGUGGCCCGAGGCCCAGGGAGCCCAGCCUGUGUCCCCAGGAGCAGAGGCUCGGGACUCGCUCGCUCCGUGUCUGGGUCUCCGAGAACCAGCGCUACUUCACUGGAAACGGUGAAGGUUCGUGACAAAGGACCGUUUCCUCCAGCUGAUGACACGAAUUCCUAAAGAGGAGAAAACGCUGGCCUUACUUAUUUGGCCGCUCCUGGGUCUGACCCCCGCCUUGAAGCAAUAGGACGGCCCCCCUCCCCCAUGUUACGAGUGCAGCCACCCGCCCCCACCAGGCACCUGCAGAGCCACAGGCGCUCAGAAAGCUCCGAUUUUCCAUUUUUCUCCACGACACGCUGUGGCUGCCCCGUGCUCUCCUGCGUGCGCGGCUCUGCUCCCUGGGUGGAUUUGGUCACAUCUGUGCCGACCCUGCAGUUCCCUGACGUCCCUUCUUCCUUGGGACACGCUCCUCAUCCUCCCAUCUUCCUUUUGUCAAAUAUUUCUUGGUUAUUUCUGUAGUUUACUCCUCCAUGGGAAUGUCAGAGGCCUGACUGUUGGAAUUUUGAUUUAAGUUUCUAUAAAUUCUACAAAUUACAAUGGACGUAUUGAAUUGGCC